CUGGGUUAUUUAAUUAAUGUAAGUGAUGGGUUGUGAAAUGUAUAACCCAUUUUGGGUUAUUAUAUGGGUAUUGGGUUAUUAACUGGGUUAUUGUUGUGAACCCAUGCAUUGGGUUAAACCUUGGUUAAAGACAGUUCAGUUAUAUACUAUCUUUACAUCAACCCAACAAACAUUAGUUAACCCAUCACCUGGGUUGUUUAUGUUUUGAACGUCUCCACGUCAUACGUCAUGACAUCGAUUACUUCAAACGGAGCACUGGACGGCAAUCUAACCGAUCGUCGUUGACCCAGCAAUCAAAGUGGCAAGGUCAAUGGACAGUUUUGUGGUGGACAAACUAACUCGAUGGCAGCUGACAGACCUUAUUGAUAUUUUUAAAGACAGUUUGGGAGUUUCUCCAAGAUGGAGUGUACGGAAUGGAAGGAGAUGAGUCUAAACCUGUUAAGUUUUUACGUGCAGCAAUACUUGCUUGUAAAUAGACAGUGGAUGUGUUUGUUUGUUUUGUUCUGCUGAGAGUUGACAUCGACCUUGUUAAAUCACAGAUCUGGUUUUAAGUUUCAAUUGUGAUAUGUAUAUAUGUAUGUAUAUAUUUGCUUCAUGCUCAGAGUCAUUUAUUUUUGUUUCAAAUGGAUAUUUGAAGAAUCUUUUCUGAUAUUAUAUUAUAAUAAAUGUUCUACCACUCUUUAAAAUUGUUUGUCUUUUAAUGUAACUGUU